rnacentral:ncRNA from 2 species
AAGCUGCCAGCUGAAGAA